rnacentral:rRNA from 1 species
CCUACGGGAGGCUGCAGUGAGGAAUAUUGGUCAAUGGACGAGAGUCUGAACCAGCCAAGUAGCGUGAAGGAUGACUGCCCUAUGGGUUGUAAACUUCUUUUAUACAGGAAUAAAACGCGGCACGUGUGCCUGUUUGCAUGUACCUUAUGAAUAAGGAUCGGCUAACUCCGUGCCAGCAGCCGCGGUAAUACGGAGGAUCCGAGCGUUAUCCGGAUUUAUUGGGGUUAAAGGGAGCGUAGGUGGGUUGUUAAGUCAGUUGUGAAAGUUUGCGGCUCAACCGGAGCAUUGAAGUUGAUACUGGAAGUCUUGAGUACAGUUGAGGUAGGCGGAAUUCGUGGUGUAGCGGUGAAAUGCUUAGAUAUCACGAAGAACCCCGAUUGCGAAGGCAGCUUAC